rnacentral:rRNA from 1 species
UACGUAGGGCCCAAGCGUUAUCCGGAAUUACUGGGCGUAAAGCGUCUGUAGGUGGCGCAUUAAGUCGGAUAUGAAAUCUUUCCGCUCAACGGAAAGACUGUGUUCGAUACUGAUGUGCUUGAGGUUUGGAGAGGUUAGCGGAAUUUCCGGUGUAGCAGUGAAAUGCGUAGAUAUCGGAAGGAACACCAAUGGCGAAGGCAGCUAACUGGCCAACACCUGACACUGAGAGACGAAAGCGUGGGGAGCGAACGGG